CAUGAGAUCAUAUACUUUCAUGGUGUCUCCAAUUCCAAUCCAGCCCAGGUUUUACAUGCCCCCUCGCUACCCCAAGCUUCCAAGAAAGGAUCCAAAGGGAAAGUACUGUGUCACUAUUGACUACCAUGAAUUCUCAAUGCAAGCACAGUCCAGGAAAACUGGAAGGACUCAAUAAAUU
rnacentral:lncRNA from 1 species